UGAUGCCAUGUGAGAUGUGCCUUUCACCUUCCACCAUGAUUGUGAGGCUUCCCCAGCCAUGUGGAACUGGUCCUGACCCAAAAUCCAGAUUGGUCUGAAUUAGGUCUGGUCUGCAUCUACUGCAGCAGAAGUUCUGGACACAGAAGAGUGGCUUCAACAUGCAAAAGGAGAAGAUGCAAAAAGAAGAAAGUGGAAAACAAUGCGUCAAUUCCCCUCAUGCCUAUAUGUCCAGUUUAAAGGAGAUCUAUCUGAGCAUUCUGUUCGUUGAAUGACUUAUCGGGGAGGAAGGCUAUUUCCAUAGGAUAAGAGGUCCCUCAUCUCUUCCCCUCAAUCCAUCCUUUUCUUAAAAGCCAGGUUCCCAGCACUUUGGGAGGCCGAGGCGGGCGGAUCACGAGGUCAGGAGAUCGAGACCAUCCUGGCUAACACAGUGAAACCCCG
rnacentral:lncRNA from 1 species